rnacentral:rRNA from 1 species
CUACGGGACGCAGCAGUCGAGAAUAUUCCACAAUGGGCGAAAGCCUGAUGGAGCGACGCCGCGUGCAGGAUGAAGGCCUUCGGGUUGUAAACUGCUUUUGUUAGGGAAGAACUUCGGUGACGGUACCUAACGAAUAAGAGGUUACUAACUCUGUGCCAGCAGUAGCGGUAAUACAGAGACCUCAAGCGUUAUCCGGAUUUAUUGGGCGUAAAGCGUGCGUAGGCGGAUAUGUUAGUCAGAUGUCAAAUUUCUGGGCUCAACCCAGAAACUGCAUUUGAAACGGCAUAUCUUGAGAGGGUGAGGGACCAGUGGAACUCAUGGUGUAGUAGUGAAAUGCGUUGAUAUCAUGAGGAACACCAAAGGCGAAGGCAUCUGGUUGGCACUUUUCUGACGCUAAGGCGCGAAAGCGUGGGGAGCGAAUGGGAUUAGAUACCCCCGUAGUC